CUUGGUUGAUUCUGCCAGUAAUCAUAUGCUUGUCUCAAAGAUUAAGCCAUGCAUGUCUAAGUACAAACUCUAGCACAGUGAAACUGCGAAUGGCUCAUUAGAUCAGUUAUGGUUCCUUAGAUGAUACAAUCCUACUUGGAUAACUGUGGUAAUUCUAGAGCUAAUACAUGCACUAAAGCUCCGACCCYUUCUGAGGGGAAGAGCGCGUUUAUCAGUUCGAAGCCAGCCGAGCCGCAAGGCUUCCUCUUUGGUGACUCUGGAUAACUCUAGCGGAUCGCACGGCCUCGAGCCGGCGACGCAUCUAUCAAGUGUCUGCCCUAUCAGACUGUCGAUGGUAAGUGCUAUGCUUACCAUGGUGAUAACGGGUAACGGGGAAUCAGGGUUCGAUUACGGAGAGGGAGCCUGARAAACGGCUACCACAUCCAAGGAAGGCAGCAGGCGCGCAAAUUACCCAAUCUCGAUACGAGGAGGUAGUGACGAAAAAUAACAAUACGGGACUCUUUCGAGGCCCCGUAAUUGGAAUGAGUGUACUCUAAACGUGUGCACGAGGAUCUAUUGGAGGGCAAGUCUGGUGCCAGCAGCCGCGGUAAUUCCAGCUCCAAUAGCGUAUAUUAAAGCUGUUGUGGUUAAAAAGCUCGUAGUUGGAUCUCAGGGUCGUUCGCGUCGGUCCCUUGCUGCAAUGGCUCGGGUACUGCGCGGUGUCGUCCCCCUUGCCAGACCUCUCAAAAAGGUUGCUCUUGACUGAGUGGCCUGCUCGAGUGGCUGGAGAGUUUACUUUGAAAAAAUUAGAGUGUUCAAAGCAGGCACAGCCCGCCUGUAUAAUGGUGCAUGGAAUAAUGGAAUAGGACCCCGGAUCCUAUUUUGCUGGUUUUUGGAGCUCAGGGGUAAUGAUUAAGAGGAACAGGGCGGGGGCAUCCGUAUUACGGCGUUAGAGGUGAAAUUCUUGGAUCGUCGUAAGACGCCCUACAGCGAAAGCAUUUGCCAAGUAUGUUUUCAUUAAUCAAGAACGAAAGUCAGAGGUUCGAAGACGAUCAGAUACCGUCGUAGUUCUGACCGUAAACUAUGCCAACUGGCAGCCCGUCGGCGUUGCUCUAUUCGACUCGGCGGGAGGCCUACCCGAAAGGAAAGUCUACGGGUUCCAGGGGAAGUAUGGUUGCAAAGCUGAAACUUAAAGGAAUUGACGG
rnacentral:rRNA from 1 species